UAUCUCUGUAGAGUCUGCAUAUCAAUAAGCGGAGGAAAAGAAACUAACUAGGAUUCCCUCAGUAACGGCGAGUGAAGCGGGAAGAGCUCAAAUUUGAAAUCUUCAAGGUUUUACCUUGACGAAUUGUAGUUUAAAGAAGUGUUUUCUGUUGGAGUUUUGGUAAAAGUUCUUUGGAAUAGGACAUCAUAGAGGGUGAGAAUCCCGUAUUUGACCAUUACUUCCAGCGUUGUGAUACACUUUCGAAGAGUCGGAUUGUUUGGGAAUGCAGUCCAAAAUGGGUGGUAAAUUUCAUCUAAAGCUAAAUAUUGGCGAGAGACCGAUAGCGAACAAGUACCGUGAGGGAAAGAUGAAAAGAACUUUGAAAAGAGAGUUAAACAGUACGUGAAAUUGUCAAAAGGGAAGCGUUUGACACCAGUGUUGUUUUCUCGAAAAUCAAUUAAAAAAGGCAGGAUUUUGUGUUGUAUUGACUUUAUCAGCUUUCUGCACUCUUUUCUUGUCUUUUUUAAUGCACUUUUCGUUUAACAAGUCAACAUCAAUUUCUUUUGUUGUAAAAGGGUCAUUGGAAGGUGGCUUUCUUUUCGGAGAAAGUGUUUAUAGCCUUUGGCCUCUGCAACCGGAGAGAUUGAGGUCUGCAGCGUAGAUCCUUCGGGGUUAGAUACAUUUGUGCUAAGUUAUAGCCUUUCAUAGACAACUUGUUGACUAUGAUCAGUCAUGUAGCUUACUCGCUUAUGCUAUUUUACCUACGCUUAGGAUGUUGACGAUCAGCUGAGCGCG
rnacentral:rRNA from 1 species